CUUAUACUCCCUCCGUCCGAAAAUACUUGUCAUCAAAAUGGAUAAAAGGGAUGUAUCUAGAACUAAUAUACGUCUAGAUACAUCCCCUUUUAUUCAUUUUGAUAAUAAGUAUUUCCGGACGGAGGGAGUAUUUA
rnacentral:pre_miRNA from 1 species